rnacentral:lncRNA from 1 species
AUACUUGCCCCAAGAGAUUAACCAUGAGGAGAAGCCUCCAGACUGGCCCUGAAGCAAGAGUAAAUCUGGUAAGACGGAAGAAAGAAGCCACCGAGAGACAGCAGUUGAAAGAGGAGGAAUCCUAAGUCCUGUGGAUUCUGGGAUUUAUGGCUUGGUGAGGAGCCUCCACAUAUCCUUGACUGGAUACCAGCACCAGCUUAUUGCCAUAUCAUCCUCAUCAGCCUGGCUUUAAUCGCCUCCAAACCUGAUAACCAUCGGAGGCAGUUCAUCCCUGCAAAUUAUCUAAUCCACAUGUUGUUCAAUUUGUGUAAACCUCAGCCCACGAGGAUCAUAAAAUAAACAAGCAUGAAAUGGUU